rnacentral:misc_RNA from 1 species
GAUGAAGAACGUAGCGAAAUGCGAUACUUGGUGUGAAUUGCAGAAUCCCGUGAACCAUCGAGUCUUUGAACGCAAGUUGCGCCCGAAGCCAUUAGGCCGAGGGCACGCCUGCUUGGGUGUCACACGUCGUUGCCCCCCCAUCUACUCCUUCGGGAUUGCGGGGGGCGGAUGUUGGCUUCCCGUGCGCCUCGUCGCGCGGUUGGCAUAAAUGCCAAGUCCUCGGCGACGCACGCCACGACAAUCGGUGGUUGCGAAACCUCGGUUGCCCGUCGUGUGCGGUCGUCGCGCAUCGAGGGCUCGAAAAAAUUGCCGGGCUCCGGCUCGGCUUUCAACGCGACCCCAGGUCAGGCGGGGUUACCCGCUGAAUUUAAGCAUAUCAAUAAGCGGAGGA